rnacentral:rRNA from 1 species
UUAGACAUUAACCAGUAUUAAAGGCAACGCCUGCCCAGUGAAUAAUUAAACGGCCGCGGUAUCCUAACCGUGCAAAGGUAGCAUAAUCACUUGCCUAUUAAUUGUAGGCCUGUACGAAAGGCAUCAUGAGGGUCUAACUGUCUCUUUUAGUAAAUCAAUUAAACUGAUCUCCCAGUUAAAAAGCUGGAAUAAUAACAUAAGACCAGAAGACCCUGUGAAGCUUUAACUAAACUAUUAAAUCCUAUAAUAGCUACUUUAGGUUGGGGCGACCUUGGAAAAAAAGAGAACUUCCAAAUACUUUAUAUUUUUAUAUAAACUAAGACCAACAGGUCUAUAACGACCCAGCAUAGCUGAUAAUUGAACCAAGUUACUCCAGGGAUAACAGCGCUAUCUUCUUCAAGAGCCCAUAUCAAAAAGAAGGUUUACGACCUCGAUGUUGGAUCAGGACACCCCAAUGGUGCAGCCGCUAUUAAAGGUUCGUUUGUUCAACGAUUAAUAGU